AUCGGCUAACUCCGUGCCAGCAGCCGCGGUAAUACGGAGGAUCCGAGCGUUAUCCGGAUUUAUUGGGUUUAAAGGGAGCGUAGGUGGACUGGUAAGUCAGUUGUGAAAGUUUGCGGCUCAACCGUAAAAUUGCAGUUGAUACUGUCAGUCUUGAGUACAGUAGAGGUGGGCGGAAUUCGUGGUGUAGCGGUGAAAUGCUUAGAUAUCACGAAGAACUCCGAUUGCGAAGGCAGCUCACUGGACUGCAACUGACACUGAUGCUCGAAAGUGUGGGUAUCAAACAGGAUUAGAUACCCUGGUAGUCCACACAGUAAACGAUGAAUACUCGCUGUUUGCGAUAUACAGUAAGCGGCCAAGCGAAAGCAUUAAGUAUUCCACCUGGGGAGUACGCCGGCAACGGUGAAACUCAAAGGAAUUGACGGGGGCCCGCACAAGCGGAGGAACAUGUGGUUUAAUUCGAUGAUACGCGAGGAACCUUACCCGGGCUUAAAUUGCAGUGGAAUGAUGUGGAAACAUGUCAGUGAGCAAUCACCGCUGUGAAGGUGCUGCAUGGUUGUCGUCAGCUCGUGCCGUGAGGUGUCGGCUUAAGUGCCAUAACGAGCGCAACCCUUAUCUUCAGUUACUAACAGGUCAUGCUGAGGACUCUGGAGAGACUGCCGUCGUAAGAUGUGAGGAAGGUGGGGAUGACGUCAAAUCAGCACGGCCCUUACGUCCGGGGCUACACACGUGUUACAAUGGGGGGUACAGAAGGCAGCUAGCGGGUGACCGUAUGCUAAUCCCAAAAUCCUCUCUCAGUUCGGAUCGAAGUCUGCAACCCGACUUCGUGAAGCUGGAUUCGCUAGUAAUCGCGCAUCAGCCACGGCGCGGUGAAUACGUUCCCGGGCCUUGUACACACCGCCCGUCAAGCCAUGGGAGCCGGGGGUACCUGAAGUACGUAACCGCAAGGAUCGUCCUAGGGUAAAACUGGUGACUGGGGCUAAGUCGUAACAAGGUAGCCGUACCGGAAGGUGCGGCUGGAACACCUCCUUUCUGGAGC
rnacentral:rRNA from 1 species